rnacentral:rRNA from 1 species
UACGAAGGGGGCUAGCGUUGUUCGGAAUUACUGGGCGUAAAGCGCGCGCAGGUGGUCUUUCAAGUCAGUGGUGAAAGCCCGGAGCUCAACUCCGGAAAUGCCAUUGAAACUGUGAGACUUGAGGACGAGAGAGGUGAGUGGAAUUCCCAGUGUAGAGGUGAAAUUCGUAGAUAUUGGGAAGAACACCGGUGGCGAAGGCGGCUCACUGGCUCGUAUCUGACGCUCAGGCGCGACAGCCGUGGGGGAUCAAAACAGG